rnacentral:lncRNA from 1 species
CUGCAAUGCACCAUCGAAAAAAUAUUGUUCUUUCAAACAAGCAAUUAUUCCUUAAUAGCUAAUACUAGUAGCUAUGAAGCUCAGAAUCCCUCUUAUAUGGUUUGUGUCCCUGUGUCCAACAAGUAUCAAACAAUUACAGGUGAACAAUACUCGUACUACACGUAUCCAACAAGUAUCAAAUAAUUACAGGUGAACAAUACUCGUACUACACGAAUCGAUGAAGUGUCUAAUUCAGAUGUUACACCACUUCCUUAAAGAGGAAUAAAGUCUCUGAAUCAAUUAACCAACCAAAAUGUUGGUGGCAAAACUUUUACAACUAUUGCUUCAUACUACUAAUUUAAAUUUCAAAAGGCAAACUUUUCAAAACUACUAAUGGUACAGGAAAAAAUAAUAUUUUGGAAGGGAAAUGAGACUGAAAUUCAGGUUUUCAAAGACCGAGUGCAAUGAUGCAUAACCUACCAUC